GUUGAGACCCCAACCAAACCAUCCUGCUUCAAAGAAAUGAAAUAGAGAUCCAGGACAUCUUUAUGCGUUUUCGGCGACAGGGUACUCAAAGACCACGUCCUUCCCACAAAGCCUGCGGUAGACUGCAGUGAAGGUCUCCAGCUUGUAUUCGGUGUUGUUCCUCUCCUUUGGGUCCAAGAAGAUCUGAAAUGAGCAUCAUAUGAAAAUUAUCAGUACUCGAAUUCAUCACCUUAAUGUGACAGACAUCAAACUAUAUCAAAACUAAGCACAGAAUAACUCUAAAUAACAAAGCCAAAGAUUUCAGUGUACGAACAAAGCCAAAUAAGAGGCAAGCAUACCUUGAUGAUCUUGGCACCAUCCAAACGGUAUCUGACACGCUUCCCCACAAUCUCAGCUGGGUAGACAACAUCCUCCAAGAUUCCAUCAUGAACAGCAGUCAGAGUCCUAGUGCGAGGACGCUGAGCAGCUGAACCCUUCUUGGGUGGCCUCACAAUCCUUCUUGUGGCAACAAUCACAACAUCCUGAGUCAAGCAAAAAGAAUGAUCAAAUUAUGUUCAAUUAUUGAAAACCUGUAUACAAUUAUAGAGGAGCACACCAAACAGUAUCACUUAGCCAAAAGUUUCCACUCUAUAAGCCAUGGCACCAAAAUCACCAUAUGGAAUAACAACUCAAAACACAAAGCAAAUACUAAAGUAACAUGCAUUAACAUCACAAGCACUGAAAAGAUAACCCGGGCCAAGAAGAAAUUCUGCAAAUUUCUAGGAAGGAGUACUCAAACAAUUACUGGAUGAUAAUAUAGCCUACACAAACAGCAUUGAUUCUUCAUCUGUAUAUCAAUUCAGAUACUCGAUGGAUUAAAAAGGAUAUACUGUAACUGAACUGUUCAAAAUUCAAGCCAUGCAUGAUGAUGGUAUAUUCAGUGCCGCAUUUCUUACUAAUGAUACAUCUACUACUUAUGAUGUAAGUAACCUCAUGCACGAUCUCUAGGCCCAUUAAUUAUUCAAGCAUAGUCAGUAACUGAACAUUACAAGCUAUGCACCACAAUAGCACAACAAAACAAACGAAAUUCACCUUGCCACUGAAUUUUUUCUCCAGCUCCCUGACGAGCCUGACAUGGAUCUUCCUGAAGGCCUUGCGCAGACGGUAUGGGACGUGGAUCACAACAGCCUUCCUGUUCCCGGCAACAUCCAUCUGGCUGCAAAGCAUCACCACCGAAGGUCACACCACAGGCAACUAAAUCUCACAAGUGAUUAUAGGAAGAUACGGGCGGCUUACAUAGCAUUGUUGAUGUAGAGGUCCUUGAGGUCGCUCUUGAUCUCCUGGUUGCUGUUCUCCAGGUCAAAGAAAGCCUG
rnacentral:lncRNA from 1 species